rnacentral:rRNA from 1 species
CCUACGGGCGGCAGCAGUGGGGAAUAUUGGACAAUGGGGGGAACCCUGAUCCAGCCAUGCCGCGUGUGUGAAGAAGGCCCUCGGGUUGUAAAGCACUUUCAGUGAGGAAGAACGCCUGGUGGUUAAUACCCAUCAGGAAAGACAUCACUCACAGAAGAAGCACCGGCUAACUCCGUGCCAGCAGCCGCGGUAAUACGGAGGGUGCGAGCGUUAAUCGGAAUUACUGGGCGUAAAGCGCGCGUAGGUGGCUUGAUAAGCCGGUUGUGAAAGCCCCGGGCUCAACCUGGGAACGGCAUCCGGAACUGUCAAGCUAGAGUGCAGGAGAGGAAGGUAGAAUUCCCGGUGUAGCGGUGAAAUGCGUAGAGAUCGGGAGGAAUACCAGUGGCGAAGGCGGCCUUCUGGACUGACGCUGACACUGAGGUGCGAAAGCGUGGGUAGCAAACAGGAUUAGAUACCCUAGUAGUC